rnacentral:rRNA from 1 species
CACGAAGUGAGUGGCGAACGGGUGAGUAACACGUGGGUAACCUGCCCAGAAGUAGGGGAUAACACCUGGAAACAGAUGCUAAUACCGUAUAACAGAGAAAACCGCAUGGUUUUCUUUUAAAAGAUGGCUCUGCUAUCACUUCUGGAUGGACCCGCGGCGUAUUAGCUAGUUGGUGAGGUAAAGGCUCACCAAGGCAGUGAUACGUAGCCGACCUGAGAGGGUAAUCGGCCACAUUGGGACUGAGACACGGCCCAGACUCCUACGGGAGGCAGCAGUAGGGAAUCUUCCACAAUGGACGCAAGUCUGAUGGAGCAACGCCGCGUGAGUGAAGAAGGGUUUCGGCUCGUAAAGCUCUGUUGUUAAAGAAGAACGUGGGUAAGAGUAACUGUUUACCCAGUGACGGUAUUUAACCAGAAAGCCACGGCUAACUACGUGCCAGCAGCCGCGGUAAUACGUAGGUGGCAAGCGUUAUCCGGAUUUAUUGGGCGUAAAGCGAGCGCAGGCGGUCUUUUAAGUCUAAUGUGAAAGCCUUCGGCUCAACCGAAGAAGUGCAUUGGAAACUGGGAGACUUGAGUGCAGAAGAGGACAGUGGAACUCCAUGUGUAGCGGUGAAAUGCGUAGAUAUAUGGAAGAACACCAGUGGCGAAGGCGGCUGUCUGGUCUGCAACUGACGCUGAGGCUCGAAAGCAUGGGUAGCGAACAGGAUUAGAUACCCUGGUAGUCCAUGCCGUAAACGAUGAUUACUAAGUGUUGGAGGGUUUCCGCCCUUCAGUGCUGCAGCUAACGCAUUAAGUAAUCCGCCUGGGGAGUACGACCGCAAGGUUGAAACUCAAAAGAAUUGACGGGGGCCCGCACAAGCGGUGGAGCAUGUGGUUUAAUUCGAAGCUACGCGAAGAACCUUACCAGGUCUUGACAUCUUCUGACAGUCUAAGAGAUUAGAGGUUCCCUUCGGGGACAGAAUGACAGGUGGUGCAUGGUUGUCGUCAGCUCGUGUCGUGAGAUGUUGGGUUAAGUCCCGCAACGAGCGCAACCCUUAUUACUAGUUGCCAGCAUUAAGUUGGGCACUCUAGUGAGACUGCCGGUGACAAACCGGAGGAAGGUGGGGACGACGUCAAAUCAUCAUGCCCCUUAUGACCUGGGCUACACACGUGCUACAAUGGAUGGUACAACGAGUCGCGAGACCGCGAGGUUAAGCUAAUCUCUUAAAACCAUUCUCAGUUCGGACUGUAGGCUGCAACUCGCCUACACGAAGUCGGAAUCGCUAGUAAUCGCGGAUCAGCAUGCCGCGGUGAAUACGUUCCCGGGCCUUGUACACAC